rnacentral:rRNA from 1 species
GAUGAACGCUGGCUGUGUGGAUAAGGCAUGCAAGUCGAAUGGGUUUAGACCCAUGGCGAACGAGGUAGUAACACGUAGGAUAACGUGCCCCAAAGUCAAGGAUAACCUGGAGAAAUCCAGAAUAAUACUUGAUAGACCCUUCUAUGAUUUAGGUAGGGUAAAGUUUUAACGCUUUGGGAGCGGCCUGCGGAGUAUCAGCUUGUUGGUAGUGUAAUGGACUACCAAGGCUAUGACGCUUAGGGGAGGUGAGAGCCUGACCCCCACCGAUGGAACUGAGACACGGUCCAUACUCCUACGGGAGGCCGCAGUCGAGAAUCUUCCACAAUGGACGAAAGUCUGAUGGAGCGACACAGCGUGGUCGACGAAGCGCUUCGGCGUGUAAAGACCUUUUAUGGGUGAAGAAGUUUAUUGACAUUAACCCAUGAAUAAGGGGCUGCUAAUCAUG